AUUGAACGCUGGCGGCAGGCCUAACACAUGCAAGUCGAGCGGAUGAAGGGAGCUUGCUCCUGGAUUCAGCGGCGGACGGGUGAGUAAUGCCUAGGAAUCUGCCUGGUAGUGGGGGAUAACGUCCGGAAACGGGCGCUAAUACCGCAUACGUCCUGAGGUAGAAAGUGGGGGAUCUUCGGACCUCACGCUAUCAGAUGAGCCUAGGUCGGAUUAGCUAGUUGGUGGGGUAAAGGCCUACCAAGGCGACGAUCCGUAACUGGUCUGAGAGGAUGAUCAGUCACACUGGAACUGAGACACGGUCCAGACUCCUACGGGAGGCAGCAGUGGGGAAUAUUGGACAAUGGGCGAAAGCCUGAUCCAGCCAUGCCGCGUGGGUGAAGAAGGUCUUCGGAUUGUAAAACACUUUAAGUUGGGAAGAAGGACAGUAAGUUAAAACCUGGCUGUUUUGACGUUACCAACAGAAUAAGCACCGGCUAACUUCGUG
rnacentral:rRNA from 1 species